GAUGAAGAACGUAGCGAAAUGCGAUACUUGGUGUGAAUUGCAGAAUCCCGUGAACCAUCGAGUCUUUGAACGCAAGUUGCGCCUCAAGCCAUUAGGUUGAGGGCACGUCUGCCUGGGCGUCACAUAUCGUUGCCUGAUGCCAGUUUCCUCGUGAUGGGUGACUGUGCAGGGCGAAUGAUGGCUUCCCGUGAGCAUUGUUGCCUCAUGGUUGGUUGAAAAUUGAGUCCUUGGUAGGGAGCGCCGUGAUAGAUGGUGGUUGAGUGACAAACGAGACCCAAUCAUGUGAGACCCCUACCGAAUUUGGCCUUCAUGACCCACAUGCGUCUUUGGAACGCUCAUGACGAGACCUCAGGUCAGGCGGGGCUACCCGCUGAGUUUAAGCAUAUCAAUAAGCGGAGGA
rnacentral:misc_RNA from 1 species